rnacentral:rRNA from 1 species
GGGGAAUCUUCCGCAAUGGGCGAAAGCCUGACGGAGCAAUACCGCGUGCGGGAGGAAGGCCCUUGGGUCGUAAACCGCUUUUAACAGGGAAGAAUAACUGACGGUACCUGUUGAAUAAGCCUCGGCUAACUCCGUGCCAGCAGCCGCGGUAAGACGGAGGAGGCAAGCGUUAUCCGGAAUUAUUGGGCGUAAAGCGUCCGCAGGUGGCCUAUCAAGUCUGUUGUUAAAGCCCAGGGCUCAACUCUGGAUCAGCAAUGGAAACUGAAAGGCUAGAGUACGGUAGGGGUAGAGGGAAUUCCCAGUGUAGCGGUGAAAUGCGUAGAUAUUGGGAAGAACACCAGUGGCGAAGGCGCUCUGCUGGGCCGUAACUGACA